UACGAAGGGGGCUAGCGUUGCUCGGAAUCACUGGGCGUAAAGCGCCCGUAGGCGGAUUGCUAAGUCAGGGGUGAAAUCCUGGAGCUCAACUCCAGAACUGCCUUUGAUACUGGCAACCUUGAGUCCGGGAGAGGUGAGUGGAACUGCGAGUGUAGAGGUGAAAUUCGUAGAUAUUCGCAAGAACACCAGUGGCGAAGGCGGCUCACUGGCCCGGUACUGACGCUGAGGUGCGAAAGCGUGGGGA
rnacentral:rRNA from 1 species